CAGAAUAUAGUUUAUUUAGAAUAUUAAUUUUGGAGAUUAAUGGAAAUUAAUUUAUAAUUUGUUCUGA
rnacentral:tRNA from 1 species